rnacentral:rRNA from 1 species
GAAUCGGCCACAUUGGACUGAGCACGGCCCAAAUUCCUACGGGAGGCACAGUAGGGAUCUUCCCCAAUUGGACGAAAUCUGAUGGAGCAACGCCGCGUGAGUGAAGAAGGGUUUCGGCUCGUAAAACUCUGUUGUUAAAGAAGAACAUAUCUGAGAGUAACUGUUCAGGUAUUGACGGUAUUUAACCAGAAAGCCACGGCUAACUACGUGCCAGCAGCCGCGGUAAUACGUAGGUGGCAAGCGUUGUCCGGAUUUAUUGGGCGUAAAGCGAGCGCAGGCGGUUUUUUAAGUCUGAUGUGAAAGCCUUCGGCUCAACCGAAGAAGUGCAUCGGAAACUGGGAAACUUGAGUGCAGAAGAGGACAGUGGAACUCCAUGUGUAGCGGUGAAAUGCGUAGAUAUAUGGAAGAACACCAGUGGCGAAGGCGGCUGUCUGGUCUGUAACUGACGCUGAGGCUCGAAAGUAUGGGUAGCAAACAGGAUUAGAUACCCUGGUAGUCCAUACCGUAAACGAUGAAUGCUAAGUGUUGGAGGGUUUCCGCCCUUCAGUGCUGCAGCUAACGCAUUAAGCAUUCCGCCUGGGGAGUACGGCCGCAAGGCUGAAACUCAAAGGAAUUGACGGGGGCCCGCACAAGCGGUGGAGCAUGUGGUUUAAUUCGAAGCACGCGAAGAACCUUACCAGGUCUUGACAUACUAUGCAAAUCUAAGAGAUUAGACGUUCCCUUCGGGGACAUGGAUACAGGUGGUGCAUGGUUGUCGUCAGCUCGUGUCGUGAGAUGUUGGGUUAAGUCCCGCAACGAGCGCAACCCUUAUUAUCAGUUGCCAGCAUUAAGUUGGGCACUCUGGUGAGACUGCCGGUGACAAACCGGAGGAAGGUGGGGAUGACGUCAAAUCAUCAUGCCCCUUAUGACCUGGGCUACACACGUGCUACAAUGGAUGGUACAACGAGUUGCGAACUCGCGAGAGUAAGCUAAUC